GGGGGGACGGAGAAGGCUAGGUGGGCCUGGCGACGGUUGUCCAGGUUCAAGUGCGUAGGCUUAAGAGUUAGGUAAAUCCGGCUCUUUUUAAGGCUGAGACACGACGUCGAGCUACUACGGUAGUGAAGUCAUUGAUGCCAUGCUUCCAGGAAAAGCCUCUAAGCUUCAGAUUGUAAGGAAUCGUACCCCAAACCGACACAGGUGGUCGGGUAGAGAAUACCA
rnacentral:rRNA from 1 species